rnacentral:rRNA from 1 species
CCUACGGGAGGCAGCAGUGGGGAAUAUUGCACAAUGGGGGAAACCCUGAUGCAGCGACGCCGCGUGAGUGAAGAAGUAUCUCGGUACGUAAAGCUCUAUCAGCAGGAAAGAAAAUGACGGUACCUGACUAAGAAGCCCCGGCUAACUACGUGCCAGCAGCCGCGGUAAUACGUAGGGGGCAAGCGUUAUCCGGAUUUACUGGGUGUAAAGGGAGCGUAGACGGCGCUGCAAGUCCGGAGUGAAAGCCCAUGGCUUAACCGCGGAACUGCUUUGGAAACUGUAUAGCUUGAGUACUGGAGAGGCAGGCGGAAUUCCUAGUGUAGCGGUGAAAUGCGUAGAUAUUAGGAGGAACACCAGUGGCGAAGGCGGCCUGCUGGACAGAAACUGACGUUGAGGCUCGAAAGCGUGGGGAGCAAACAGGAUUAGAUACCCCUGUAGUC